ensembl:lncRNA
GACGUCACUCGCGUCCGCCCCGCACACAUCUGAGACAACGUGCUGCAGCCUCUGAACAUCACUAAUAUAGUGAUGACGCCCCCCCCCCCCCAAAAACACGCACAACAGACCUCAUAAUGUGUGCGUGGCACCGUACCUCGUCUUAUCCACAGUGACGCUAUUCUGUGGGUUAAACAUUAGCUGAAGAUUUGCAGACAUUAUGAUGUGAAGCAUCGUGAACACAGACAGAUUAUUACAGAUUAGUAGCGUCUGCGAGCGACUCGUCAUUCAGCCGAAGAGAAGCAAAGGCACUUGACAACUCAAGAGUCCUGCUUCUGAUGCAAAGCAGCUAAACUCAGAGUCCACGUGCAUGGUACUCUGAUGCAAACCCUCCCGUCACUCCUGACUUGUCAAUGCUGUUUGGGACAUUUAAAUUCCACUUCCUGUAGGAGGCGGCGGCAUCGAGGCCAAAACAAAGAAAAAAACUGAAUGUGUUCACAUAUUCUGUGAAGUUAGAUGAACAGUAGAUGAUUACAAAUGUAUUCACGGCCGUGGUUUAACACUGGCCAGUUUUAUGGAAUACAAUGGUUGACAAUGUUUUCCUACAUGCAACUGUAAUGUAACAUAACUGUAGCCAGAUUAUUAUUGAGGAACACCCAGAUAAACACUUUCAGUGUAGAAACAAGCAAAGGAACAGUGUGUCUGGUGCUGCUGAUGGGCUCCAGACGUCUAGCUGACGUUACGCUGCAUAAGGGUGCUGGAAUGAAGUAAUGCUCGCAAAGACACUGAAGUUGCUACUGAAUAAAAUAGAUCGCGGUUAGAGCUGGAGAAAAUGACAAGGGGCUACUAUCUACUUGAUCUUCACUUUUAAUAUCAACUAUGCACCCGUAAAGUUUUCAGACUUGCACGUUCAAGUCCACUGACUUAGAAACUCCUGGAGGAGCAAACGUCUUCCUUGGGAGUGUCUCCAGGACCACAUCCAACCACGAUGACACACACACACACACACACACACACACACACACACACACACACACA